AACGAACGCUGGCGGCAUGCCUAACACAUGCAAGUCGAACGAGACCUUCGGGUCUAGUGGCGCACGGGUGCGUAACGCGUGGGAACCUGCCCUCAGGUUCGGAAUAACUCCCCGAAAGGGGUGCUAAUACCGGAUAAUGUCUUCGGACCAAUGAUUUAUCGCCCUUGGAUGGGCCCGCGUUGGAUUAGCUGGUUGGUAGGGUAAAAGCCUACCAAGGCGACGCUCCAUAGCUGGUCUGAGAGGAUGAUCAGCCACACUGGGACUGAGACCCGGCCCAGACGCCUACGGGAGGUAGCAGUGGGGAAUAUUGUACAAUGGGCGAGGGCCUGAUCCAGCAGUACCGCGUGAGUGAUGCAGGUCUUAGGGUUGUAAAGCUCUUUUACCCGGGAUGAUAAUGACGGUACCGGGAGAAUAAGCUCCGGCUAACUCCGUG
rnacentral:rRNA from 1 species